AUCCAGAUGACGAGUCCAAAAUAGGACAAAAUGCGUAUCCUAGAU
rfam:Trichobilharzia regenti genome assembly, scaffold: TRE_scaffold0066547